rnacentral:rRNA from 1 species
GACGAACGCUGGCGGCGUGCUUAACACAUGCAAGUCGAACGAAGUGGCGAACGGGUGAGUAAGGCGUAAGCAACCUGCCCUUCAGAGGGGGACAAUAGUGGGAAACGACUGCUAAUGCCGCAAAAGGAUGGGGGGGAUGGAGUCUGAUGAGCUAGUUGGAGGGGUAACGGCCCACCAAGGCGAUGAGCAGUAGCCGGUCUGAGAGGAGGAACGGCCACAUUGGGGCUGGGACACGGCCCAGGCUCCUACGGGGGGCAGCAGUGGGGAAACUUCCGCAAUGGACGAAAGUCUGACGGAGCAACGCCGCGUGAGUGAUUACGGCCUUCGGGUUGUAAAGCUCUGUUGAUCGGGACGCGGUACCGGAAUAGAAAGCCCCGGCUAACUACGUGCCAGCAGCCGCGGUAAUUC